rnacentral:rRNA from 1 species
AUUGAACGCUGGCGGAAUGCUUUACACAUGCAAGUCGAACGGCAGCACGGGGGCAGCCCUGGUGGCGAGUGGCGAACGGGUGAGUAAUACAUCGGAACGUGCCCGGUCGUGGGGGAUAACGUAGCGAAAGUUACGCUAAUACUGCAUACGAUCUGAGGAUGAAAGCGGGGGACCUUCGGGCCUCGCGCGAUCGGAGCGGCCGAUGUCAGAUUAGGUAGUUGGUGGGGUAAAGGCCUACCAAGCCGACGAUCUGUAGCUGGUCUGAGAGGACGACCAGCCACACUGGGACUGAGACACGGCCCAGACUCCUACGGGAGGCAGCAGUGGGGAAUUUUGGACAAUGGGCGCAAGCCUGAUCCAGCCAUUCCGCGUGCAGGACGAAGGCCUUCGGGUUGUAAACUGCUUUUGUACGGAACGAAAAGGCUCUGGCUAAUACCUGGGGCUCAUGACGGUACCGUAAGAAUAAGCACCGGCUAACUACGUG